rnacentral:rRNA from 1 species
UACGUAGGGCGCAAGCGUUAUCCGGAAUUAUUGGGCGUAAAGAGCGUGUAAGGCGGUUUGGUAGGUCCGCUGUGAAAACUCGAGGCUCAACCUCGAAGACGCCGGUGGAAACCAUCAGGCUAGAGUCCGGAAAGAGGAGAGUGGAAUUCCUGGUGUAGCGGUGAAAUGCGCAGAUAUCAGGAAGAACACCCGUGGCUAAGGCGGCUCUCUAGUACGGUACUGACGCUGAGACGCGAAAGCGUGGGGAGCGAACAGG